CAGAAGCUCCUAUGCUCAGGACCUUCCCAGACUUCCCCCAAGUGUCUCUUCAUCUGGUUGUUCAUCUGUAUCCUUUAUCACAUCCUGUCAUAAACUGGUCAAGCCCAACCCUUUGAGGUGGGUCCUGUUAUCUCCAAAUUAUAGAUGAGAAGACUGAGGGUCAGAAAGGAGCUGUUGUUUGGAACAGGUUAACACAGAACUCAACCCCAGGACCAAACCCAGAGGGAACUUAGGAAAAGGAUCAAUUUCUAGAAAUGGAAUUUCUGGUGCAAACAGAUGGAAAGUUUUUAGGGCUUUCACCCUACAGCACAGUGGAACCAAUUUACAGCCCCAGCAGCAGAAUGAAGAUUAGCCCUGAGCUAACAUCCACUGCCAAUCCGCCUCUUUUUGCUGAGGAAGAUUGA